AACGAACGCUGGCGGCAUGCCUAACACAUGCAAGUCGAACGAGACCUUCGGGUCUAGUGGCGCACGGGUGCGUAACGCGUGGGAACCUGCCCUUAGGUUCGGAAUAACUCCCCGAAAGGGGUGCUAAUACCGGAUAAUGUCUUCGGACCAAAGAUUUAUCGCCUUUGGAUGGGCACGCGUUGGAUUAGCUAGUUGGUAGGGUAAAAGCCUACCAAGGCGACGAUCCAUAGCUGGUCUGAGAGGAUGAUCAGCCACACUGGGACUGAGACACGGCCCAGACUCCUACGGGAGGCAGCAGUGGGGAAUAUUGGACAAUGGGCGAAAGCCUGAUCCAGCAAUGCUGCGUGAGUGAUGAAGGCCUUAGGGUUGUAAAGCUCUUUUACCCGGGAUGAUAAUGACAGUACCGGGAGAAUAAGCUCCGGCUAACUCCGUG
rnacentral:rRNA from 1 species